GUGGGGAAUAUUGGACAAUGGGGGGAACCCUGAUCCAGCCAUGCCGCGUGUGUGAAGAAGGCCUUUUGGUUGUAAAGCACUUUAAGCGAGGAGGAGGCUACCGAGAUUAAUACUCUUGGAUAGUGGACGUUACUCGCAGAAUAAGCACCGGCUAACUCUGUGCCAGCAGCCGCGGUAAUACAGAGGGUGCAAGCGUUAAUCGGAUUUACUGGGCGUAACGCGCGCGUAGGUGGCCAAUUAAGUCAAAUGUGAAAUCCCCGAGCUUAACUUGGGAAUUGCAUUCGAUACUGGUGGGCUAGAGUAUGGGAGAGGAUGGUAGAAUUCCAGGUGUAGCGGUGAAAUGCGUAGAGAUCUGGAGGAAUACCGAUGGCGAAGGCAGCCAUCUGGCCUAAUACUGACACUGAGGUGCGAAAGCAUGGGGAGCAAACAGGAUUAGAUACCCGUGUAGUCC
rnacentral:rRNA from 1 species